rnacentral:lncRNA from 10 species
GGCCUCCUUCUCAGAGGGUAGCAGCUACAUACACCAGGGAUGGACUCAAUAAUGUCACCUCCCUUGUUUCAGCCAGUAGACCUCUAUUGAUUUAAUCUGAAGUCACAUUGGCCUUUUGGCAGCCUGUCCCAAUGGUGACUCAUAAUGAGAUUCAUUUAGAGUCAAUCAAACUCUUAUAAAGGACACUGCCUGAACAUAUCCAACAAAGCAGUUUUCUGUCAUCUGGGAACCUGUUGCAAGUGCCUUCUGUCGAUUGAUCCAGAUGAUUGUUUACAGCGCAAUUUUGUUAUGGAAUCACCUAACUAUGUCAGCCUACAGCUUGCUUUCCUCUGCCUUGUUCAGAAAGGUCACAGAAGGCUGCUUCUUCACUGCUUUGCUGAAACAUCUUAAAGUGUUGGGCCAGGAGAAGUGUUAGAGACCAUCUGCUUCAAGCCCUUCAUUUUUCAGAUGAAGAAACUGAGGCCAGGUGAGGUAAAGAGGCUGCUAAAAGAUCAUACAGUGACCUGGUCUGCAGCAGAGCCAAAGAUCAGGACUCAGAGAUUCCCGUACCCAGGGACCCUCUGGUUAUUUGCCCAGCAAGGAAACCACUGGUACACUCCAUCAAGUCUGCUGGAAGACUCCAAAACAGUGGACAACAGAGCCCCUGCCCUUGGGAAGAAAGGCUAAGUGGGCCCUGAAAAGUAAGUAAUCAACUGAUGACUAGAGAAACAGAAUGUGGUCCAGACAUACAAUGAAAUACAGUCCAGCCAUGGAAAGGAAUGAAGCGCUGACGCAUGCUACAACGUGGGUGAACCUUGAAAAAUUAUGGUCAGUGAAAGAAGCCAGUGGCAGAAGACCACAUAUUGUAUGAUUCCAUUCAGAGGAUUUGCCACAAUAGGAAGAUCCCUCGAAACAGAGAAAGCACCUUCGUGGGUGCCGGGGGGCUGGGGGGUAGGGGGAAAUGGGGAGUGACUGCUAAUGGGUACAAGAUUUCUUUUUGGAGUGACAGAAAUGUUUUGGAAUUAGACCAUGCUGAUGGUUGCCCAACAAUGUAAUGCACUCAAAACCACUGAACUGUGCACCUUAAAAUGGUUAAAAUGGUGAAUUUUAUGGCAUGUGAAUUAUGCCUUCAUCUUUAACAAGAGCAUCAGCCUGUCUUCCUGCUCUCUGGUGGACAGUGGAGAAGAAAGGAAAGGAAGGAGGUCAAGAACAAACCCUUUCCUCCUCUCCCAGCUGAAGAGCUUUGCAGACGGCGGGGAGGGCCUGGAGGGGCCGCUCUCUGGGCAGCUGAGGGUUGCUUUUCCACCUAAAGGGCCUGUCUGCCAUGUCCUUCCUGGCGCAUCCUGAGUGUCCCCUGGGCUGUGGUCCUGGGACCUCCCCCACUCUUCUGCCCUUCUGCCGCGAUGGAAACUGGGCCUCCCUGGGCUGCUGCUCUGCCUUGGAAGGAAAUGGGGGACACUUGCUUGGCUCUUCAGCACCCGCCCCGUGCUUCCGCGUUUGUGUGAAGGGCAAAGGUUUUAGCGAUCUCCUGCCAGGCUCAGAUCCGCUCCUCUACACGGCACGCCUUGCUCUGGCCAAGGCUCCAUUCGGAGGAAUUCGGGUGCGGCACAGCGUCA